UACGAAGGGGGCUAGCGUUGCUCGGAAUUAUUGGGCGUAAAGCGCACGUAGGCGGUUCGUUAAGUCGGAUGUGAAAGCCCUCAGCUUAACUGAGGAAGUGCAUCUGAUACUGCAUCGCUUGAGUGUCGGAGGGGAUGGCGGAAUUCCCGGUGUAGAGGUGAAAUUCGUAGAUAUCGGGAGGAACACCUGUGGCGAAGGCGGCCAUCUGGACGACGACUGACGCUGAGACGCGAAAGCGUGGGUAGCAAACAGG
rnacentral:rRNA from 1 species